UACGUAGGGGGCAAGCGUUGUCCGGAAUCAUUGGGCGUAAAGCGCGUGUAGGCGGCUCGUUAAGUCCGCUCUGAAAGCCCGGGGCUCAACCCCGGGAGGCGGGUGGAUACUGGCGAGCUUGAGUCCGGAAGAGGAGUGUGGAAUUCCUGGUGUAGCGGUGAAAUGCGCAGAUAUCAGGAGGAACACCUAUGGCGAAGGCAGCACUCUGGGGCGUGACUGACGCUGAGACGCGAAAGCGUGGGGAGCGAACAGG
rnacentral:rRNA from 1 species